AAAAUAAUCCUACCCUUUGUGAAUUUUGUUUGUUUGAAUAAUUUUUUUUUUUAAAAAAUUAUUGGAGUCUUUCCCUUUAGAGUUUGCUUUUGAGUUUGUAAAAGAAUUCGAAAGCAUCUAAAGGGGAUGGUCAAUAAUUUUUUUUGAAAAAAGACAUUUUUUAAAAUUAAACUUUUUGUAUUCAUUUGUCUAAAAAUUAUUUUUAUAAUAUAAAAACAACUUUUGACAAUGGAUCUCUUGGUUCUCGCAACGAUGAAGAACGCAGCAAAAUGCGAUAAGUAGUGUGAAUUGCAGGAUACGUGAAUCAUCGAAUCUUUGAACGCAUAUUGCACUUUUUUAGUUUACUAAAAAAGUAUGUCUGUUUGAGUAUCAGUAAAAUAUUCUCAUAAAAAUCAUUGUGUAUUUUUAUGGUUAUGAGUGUUUUACAACGAUACAAGUUGUUUCACUUUAAAUUUUUUUUUAAUAUUGAAAUUUUUCUAAUUUUAAUAAUUAAAAUUGGAUAAAAUUUUCCCGUCAAAAGGAAUAACCUAAACAAUUUUAAAUGAUUAAUUUUAGCAAAGUUUCGUAAAAAAGGAAAAUUUUUAUUAAAAUAACUUGAUCUCAAAUCAGAUAAGAGUACCCGCUGAACUUAAGCAUAUCAAUAAGCGGAGGAAAAGAAACUAACAAGGAUUCCCUUAGUAACGGCGAGUGAAGCGGGAAGAGCUCAAAUUUGAAAUCUUCAAGGUUUUACCUUGACGAAUUGUAGUUUAAAGAAGUGUUUUCUGCUGAAGUUUUGGUAAAAGUUCUUUGGAAUAGGACAUCAUAGAGGGUGAGAAUCCCGUAUUUGACCAUUAUUUUCAGCUUUGUGAUACACUUUCAAAGAGUCGGAUUGUUUGGGAAUGCAGUCCAAAAUGGGUGGUAAAUUUCAUCUAAAGCUAAAUAUUGGCGAGAGACCGAUAGCGAACAAGUACCGUGAGGGAAAGAUGAAAAGAACUUUGAAAAGAGAGUUAAACAGUACGUGAAAUUGUCAAAAGGGAAGCGUUUGACACCAGUGUUGUUUUCUCGAAAAUCAAUUAAAAAUGGCUCGAUUUUGUAUUGCUUGAGACCUUAAAAGCUCACUGUACAUUUUUCGUGUCUUUUUUAAUGCACUUUUCGUUUAACAAGUCAACAUCAGUUUCUUUUGUUGUAAAAGGGUCAUUGGAAGGUGGCUUUCUUUUCGGAGAAAGUGUUUAUAGCCUUUGGCCUCUGCAAUCGGAGAGACUGAGGUCUGCAGCGUAGACUCUUCGGGGUUAGAUACAUUUGUGCUAAGUUAUAGCUUUUUAUAGACAACUUGUUGACUAUAAUUAGUCUUGUAGCUUACUCGCUUAUGCUAUUUUACCUACGCUUAGGAUG
rnacentral:misc_RNA from 1 species